GAGGGAAGAGGGAAGAGGGAAGAGGGAAGAGGGAAGAGGGAAGAGGGAAGAGGGAAGAGGGAAGAGGGAAGAGGGAAGAGGGAAGAGGGAAGAGGGAAGAGGGAGAGGGAGUAUUUAUGCAAUCCGGUACGGCAGCCCAACGCGUGCUUGGUACGGCGCCUAGUACCAUCGACGUUCCAGCUUUUCAUCACCCCCGCCGCCCCGUAUUCACUCGCACCCCGUAUUUACCCGCCUCCGAAACC
rnacentral:lncRNA from 1 species